UGCAGGUCUGGAAACAGCAUGAAGAAGCAGAAUUGGCGGCUCCAAGCUAACCGGGGCAGGGGAUCAGUGGCAGCUGCUGGAUUCUGAGCUCUGACCUCCCUCCUUGUCAUGUUGCCUGAGGAGAAUUGCAGACAGACCCUCAGACCUCAAAUAUUCUAAAUUUUGAAGUCCCAGCUUUGGCUGAGAGGAGGCCAGCAUUGGAGUACAAGAGAAAUACAUCAUUUCCAUGGAGAAAUGAAGGAACUCUCUGAAGCCUGGAAACCCCUGGGAGGGGAGCACAUGUAUUAUUCUAGAUCAGAACUAAACAUUCCAGCAUGGAGGAUGACCUCACGUGGCCUCCCUGUCGAAAGGUGAAAAAGAUCCUUACUUACCCUUCACCUUCAGCCCUGAUGGUAAAUUACCUAAGUCCUCCAAGUGUCAUACUUCCUGUUAAUCCUGUGGAACUGUGAGUAAAUUAAACCUCUUUUCUGCAUAAAUCACCCAGUUUCAGGUAGUUCUUUAUAGCAGUGUGAAAAUGGACUAAUACCUGAUGCAGAAUAGGCACUAAAAAUAUGUUAACCGGGAAAAUUAUGAUAGUGAUAGAGUGUUUCAGAAUCUCACAUCAACAGUCUUUUAUUUUAUGACCUUUUUAGGUUGAAUAGCCCUGAGAUCAACAAUGUCACUGGUUGAAGAGGGCUGUCCAUUUCAUGUGAUAGAGGGCUCUUUAGGCGGCUUCUAUACUCAUUAGGUUCACAAAAUGUGAACUGUUCCAGAUGACUAGUAAUAAGACAUUUUCACUGAUGGCAGUUGAUGUUUCUCCUUUCUGACACAUCAAAGUCUAUCAAAAACUGAAUCCCUUGCAGUCUGACAUCACUCCAUAUGCUGCAAAAUGUCUUAUAUUAACUUUAAUUUUUUAGGCACCUAGUAUUGAGCACCUAUUAUCUAUCUGACACUGCUUACACUGAUAAUUUAAAAUUAAUAGAUACAUUUGGUAUUCUCUGUUAAAGGAGAAAAACAAAAAGAUGAACAUAACAUUGGAGGAUAAGUGUUAUGACAGACAAAAGCCUGGCAGGUUAUGGAAACACAGAAAGAGAAUGUCCAAACCAGAAUAACUGAAAUGGGCAGAAGGAUGAUAAGGAAGGAUGCCUGGAGAAUGUGAUGGGUGAGUUGAGUUUUAACAGGUGAGGAGGAAUUAGCCAAAUUAGAAAGAGAAGAGGGUCAUUCUGAGGAACUUGUAUAGAGGUGAAGAGAUAUGAGAGAAUACGUUGGAUUUAGGAAAAUAUGAAUGGUUCAACAAGACCAGCUACUUGCAUUUUAAAUGACUGAUGCUUAGGUUUGUUAAGUUUAAUAUUUUACAUGCAACAUUUUGUCUGUCCAGUUGCGGAGUUAGAACUGCAUAUAAUUGUAUUGACCCAUUAUCAGUAAGAAAGAGAAUUGAUAGCACAUACGUGAUUUAUCAGACCAACUAAAUUCCAUUGUGAACAAGAAGUAGAAUGUUUUUAAAACUUACUUUUGCGUUUGCCUAGUAACCAUAAUCUGAUCACCUGAGAUAUCCUAAAAGGCUCCAUAAGAAAUAUUUAUAUUGUAUUCUAGGAAACUCAACAAUUAACUCCAAGUCUCAG